AUGGGACUUCAUGGAGUUACACAACGCUUUGACAGGUUAGUCAGGCCAGAGACCACCUCUUUGCCAAAUGAAACAAAAAUAUUUGGUCGUGACAAAGAGCUGAAACAGAUAUUGGGAUUUCUCAAUGUACCCAAAAAUUCAAAACGCAAGAGAGGAACUAGUUCAAUCAAUGCAUCAUCAAGCACGUCAGCAAGCAACCAAGUUAGAAAUGAAUCAAGAAUAUUGAAUCUUCAUGUUUUGCCAAUAGCUGGAAUUGGUGGUGUUGGGAAAACUACUUUGGCCCAACAUAUUUGUAGUCAUCAAAGAGAGAAGUCUCACUUUGAGCUGAUAAUUUGGAUUUGUGUCUCAGAUGACUUUGAUGUGAAGAGGUUAACCAAAGAGGCCAUACAAUCAUGUACUGGAAAGGAGGCGACAACUGAUAAUUUGGAUUAUCUUCAGCGUGCUCUCUCUAACCAUGUGAGCAAUAGAAGGUUAUUGAUAGUCCUUGAUGAUAUGUGGGAUGAUGCCUUGAAAGAAAAUGGGCAGUGCUGGAAGAGGUUUUGUGCACCUUUUAGAAAUGUACAAGAGGGAAGUGCGAUGUUGGUCACCACUAGAUGUCCAAAUGUUACCAAGGGGGUGGGCACAAUGGGGCCUGUUAUAUUAGAAGGUCUAAAGGAUGACGUCUUUUGGGAUUUCUUCAAAUUGUGCUCGUUUGGAACUGAGAAUUCUAACAAUUAUCCUGAGUUAGAGUGCAUCGGUAGAAGUAUACUUUCUAAAUUGAAGGGUUCUCCUUUGGCCGCCAAAACUUUGGGACGUAUGUUAAGCAUGGACAUACAAUCAUCACACUGGAAUUCCAUACUUGAGAGUGAACUGUGGGAGUUGAAACAAAAGGAAACUGAUAUUUUGCCUGCCCUUCGAUUAAGCUACAUGUAUUUGCCAUUCUAUUUGAAGCAAUGCUUCUCAUUCUGUGCUAUGUACCCCAAGGGUUGCAAAUUUGAGAAGGCAAGGUUAGCUGAAAUUUUUGUAGCAGAAGGCUUUGUGGAACCUCAAGGUGGUAUUCAAAUUCAAGAUAUUGGAUGUCAGUAUUUUGAAGACCUUGUAGCACGGUCCUUCUUUCAAAGAGUCAGUGGUGGAUAUGUAAUCCAUGACUUGUUGCAUGACAUGGCACAAAAGGUUUCAGAGCACGUUUGCUUCAUUUUAAGAAAUAAGAGUGACUUUGAUAAAGUUCCACAGAAUGUACGUCAUCUCUACAUACUCCCGAGUAGUGACUUUGACCAUUCCGACUUGUUGAGCCUAUGCAAGUACGUGAAGCUACGUACCAUUAUUUGCAAAAAGAAAUUAGGCAGAAAAACAGGAUUAGUAAUGGAACAGUGGUGUACUUCUUUUCUCCGUGUGCGGGUAAUUUCUUUUGCCUCCGUGGAUAAUUUACCAGAUAGUAUUGGGAACUGGAAGCAUCUUCGGUACCUUGAAAUCUGCUCAACUUCCUCAUUGAAAAGGAUUCCUUCAAAAUUUUGUUGGCUAUAUAAUAUGCAGAUUAUAUAUGCCAAGAAAUGCAAGCUAGUAAGCUUGCCGGUUGACUUUGGUAAGUUGAUCAGCUUACAGAAAUUUGAAUUACAUGGACUAAUCCUUGAUUCAGCUAAUGAUGAGGGACGAGCAAUCAGGUGCUUAAAGCAUCUGAACCAGUUUCGUGGACACUUGGAAAUGGCUAACAUUGCCAUCCUAAGUAAGGAUCAUGCAGCAGAAGCUGGAUUGAAGUAUAAGAAAUAUCUUGAUAAGUUGAUAUUGUGUAUGCGGCGUGAUUUAGGCCUCCCUGAGUCUUAUAUCCACAACAAUGAUAUAGAAGCGCUUCAAGUUCUGCAACCUCCUAUCAGCCUCAAGUUUCUCUUCAUCAAGAAUUAUGCCGGUGUCUCGCUCCCAAGUUGGUUUCAACCACAAAACUUGGCAAGCUUAAAAUUACUUACUUUUGAUGGUUGUGUUGGACUGAAGAGAAUAUCUUCCCCCAUGAUCUCACAGAGCAUAAACCUAAAUGAGAUACAUGCAAUUGGUACUUUCAUGUCCCUGACAGAACUAAGCAUCAAUAGGUGCGGAAAUUUAUCGAGCCUAGAAAAUUUUCUGCAUCCAUAUUAUAUACCAGCCAUCAAGAAAAUAAGAAUUGGCGGUUGCAAGAUGUUAGAAUCAGUACCAACUGAAGUGUUUGGGGAUUUUCACUUCCUUGAAGAACUGUUUAUAGACAAUUGUCCAAACAUUCGUCUCCAAAGACUGGUUUCGCCGUCCCUCAAGAAGCUCCAUCUGUGGUUUUCUAGUCUCUUUUGCAAUAUUGAUUGCUGCUCCCUCACCUACUUUGAUUUUCGUUGUGACUCUGUCACGUCCAUCCCUUGCACCACUCUACAAAAGUGGAGUCUUCCGGCUCUACAGAGGUUGGAAAUUUGGUGCCAGUCUCUUAUAUCUAUUGGAGGCACCCCUACCCAUUCCAUUUCUACAGGAACUGGUAGCAUUAGACCAUUUCCAUCCCUUUCUUUCCUGGAUGUUAGAUUCUGUUACAAAUUGACAACCCUUGAUGGCAUCCUAACACAAGAAUACCUACCUGCUAUUGAGAAAAUUGGCGUCGCAUUUUGUCCCGAGUUACUGUCCCUGCCAGUUGAAAGGUUUGUGAGUUCCCCUUAUCUGAAGCAUCUGAGCAUUUAUGCUUGCCCAAGUCUCAACUGGCAAAGGGGGCUGGUGUUGCCAUCAUAUCUCCAAAGUCUCUGCUUAGAAAGAUGUGGGGAUAUCUCUCCAUAUGUUCCCAGCUGCCUACAGAACCUCACAUCCCUCGUCUCGCUGAGCAUUGGUAGGUGCCAGGGUAUAACAUCCAUUCCUGGUGACAUUUGGAGCAGUAAUCUUGCAUCACUUAAGGAUCUGAGGAUUUAUGAGUGUCCAGACCUAGUUUCAUUUGGUGGAGCAGAGGCAGUUGCAAACAUAAAGAAGGUUAAGAUAUACAAAUGUCCAAAGUUAAAGGAAGCGGAUCAGAUCGAUAGAUGGCCAGCCAAGGCGAGCAGGAAGNNNNNGCUGCAUCAGAUGGAAAAUUGGAUGUUUUCCUCUCCCUCCUCGUCAUUUGCUUCAAAGUGGCCAUUGCCGCCCAGUUCAUCUGCAAUCUGA
rnacentral:rRNA from 1 species